UCGACGUUUCAGCCACAAUACAUGGCUUUCAUCAGGAUCUUUACAGCUCUAACUUUGUAAAGAUCCUGAUGAAAGCCAUGUAUUGUGGCUGAAACGU
rnacentral:miRNA from 1 species